GUGUCAGCAGCCGCGGUAAUACGGAGGGUGCAAGCGUUAUCCGGAUUCACUGGGUUUAAAGGGUGCGUAGGUGGGCUGGUAAGUCAGUGGUGAAAUCUCCGAGCUUAACUUGGAAACUGCCAUUGAUACUAUCAGUCUUGAAUACCGUGGAGGUUAGCGGAAUAUGUCAUGUAGCGGUGAAAUGCUUAGAUAUGACAUAGAACAUCAAUUGCGAAGGCAGCUGGCUACACGAAUAUUGACACUGAGGCACGAAAGCGUGGGGAUCAAACAGGAUUAGAAACCCGUGUAGUCC
rnacentral:rRNA from 1 species